rnacentral:rRNA from 1 species
GACAGGUGGUGCAUGGUUGUCGUCAGCUCGUGUCGUGAGAUGUUGGGUUAAGUCCCGCAACGAGCGCAACCCUUAAGCUUAGUUGCCAUCAUUAAGUUGGGCACUCUAAGUUGACUGCCGGUGACAAACCGGAGGAAGGUGGGGAUGACGUCAAAUCAUCAUGCCCCUUAUGAUUUGGGCUACACACGUGCUACAAUGGACAAUACAAAGGGCAGCGAAACCGCGAGGUCAAGCAAAUCCCAUAAAGUUGUUCUCAGUUCGGAUUGUAGUCUGCAACUCGACUACAUGAAGCUGGAAUCGCUAGUAAUCGUAGAUCAGCAUGCUACGGUGAAUACGUUCCCGGGUCUUGUACACACCGCCCGUCACACCACGAGAGUUUGUAACACCCGAAGCCGGUGGAGUAACCUUUUAGGAGCUAGCCGUCGAAGG